rnacentral:ncRNA from 1 species
GUCUUCAGGGCAGGGUGUGAUUCCCGACCGGCGGUAAAGUCCGCAAGCCGAAAGGCAUGAUCCGGUGAAACUCCGGAACCGACAGUACAGUCUGGAUGAGAGAAGAUG